rnacentral:rRNA from 1 species
ACUCAAAUGAAUAGACGGGGGCCCGCACAAGCGGUGGAGCAUGUGGUUUAAUUCGAUGCAACGCGAAGAACCUUACCUACCCUUGACAUGUCUGGAAUCUUGUAGAGAUACGAGAGUGCCGAAAGGAACCAGAAGACAGGUGCUGCAUGGCUGUCGUCAGCUCGUGUUGUGAGAUGUUGGGUUAAGUCCCGUAACGAGCGCAACCCUUGUCCUUAGUUACCAACGAGUAGAGUCGGGGACUCUAAGGAGACUGCCGGUGAUAAGCCGGAGGAAGGUGGGGACGAUGUCAAGUCAUCAUGGCCCAUAUGGGUAGGGCUACACACGUGCUACAAUGGUCGGUACAGAGGGAGGCGAAGCUGUGAAGUGUAGCGAAUCCCAAAAAGCCGAUCGUAGUCCGGAUUGAAGUCUGGAACUCGACUUCAUGAAGUUGGAAUCGCUAGUAAUCGCGAAUCAGCAUGUCGCGGUGAAUACGUUCCCGGGCCUUGCACACACCGCCCGU